rnacentral:tRNA from 1 species
GGGUGGGUACCGAAGUGGUCAAACGGGACUGGCUGUAAACCAGUUGCCCUCGUGGCUUCAUAGGUUCGAAUCCUAUCCCACCCA